rnacentral:lncRNA from 1 species
GAAACCAUAUUUCUUCUGGGCAAGCAGUUAAAUGCUCUACGUCCACAAACUGAGUCAAUUGAUUCAUCGUACAGUAAGACAAAUCCAAAGGAUGAAGGAUUCACAGAAGAUGAACCUGCCAACAAUAGCCCAAAAUUUCAAGAAUUAGGUCAGAUGGAAAUGGACAAUGCUACUUCUGCUUUUGUGCAAAGAUUGAGUUCGGAGUCUCCCUUACAAUUUCCCAACAGUUUAUUUAGCCCUUCGGACAGUGAGUCCACCCUUCCAGCCAGAUCCCCAGUACAGCAUUCUAAAUCAAAACCAAAACACAGGCCCACCAAGUCAGC